AGCGUACACGGUGGAUGCCCUGGCAGUCAGAGGCGAUGAAGGACGUGCUAAUCUGCGAUAAGCGUCGGUGAGGUGAUAUGAACCGUUAUAACCGGCGAUUUCCGAAUGGGGAAACCCAGUGUGUUUCGACACACUAUCAUUAACUGAAUCCAUAGGUUAAUGAGGCGAACCGGGGGAACUGAAACAUCUAAGUACCCCGAGGAAAAGAAAUCAACCGAGAUUCCCCCAGUAGCGGCGAGCGAACGGGGAGGAGCCCAGAGCCUGAAUCAGUGUGUGUGUUAGUGGAAGCGUCUGGAAAGGCGCGCGAUACAGGGUGACAGCCCCGUACACAAAAAUGCACAUAUUGUGAGCUCGAUGAGUAGGGCGGGACACGUGGUAUCCUGUCUGAAUAUGGGGGGACCAUCCUCCAAGGCUAAAUACUCCUGACUGACCGAUAGUGAACCAGUACCGUGAGGGAAAGGCGAAAAGAACCCCGGCGAGGGGAGUGAAAAAGAACCUGAAACCGUGUACGUACAAGCAGUGGGAGCCUCUUAAUGGGGUGACUGCGUACCUUUUGUAUAAUGGGUCAGCGACUUAUAUUCUGUAGCAAGGUUAACCGAAUAGGGGAGCCGAAGGGAAACCGAGUCUUAACUGGGCGUUAAGUUGCAGGGUAUAGACCCGAAACCCGGUGAUCUAGCCAUGGGCAGGUUGAAGGUUGGGUAACACUAACUGGAGGACCGAACCGACUAAUGUUGAAAAAUUAGCGGAUGACUUGUGGCUGGGGGUGAAAGGCCAAUCAAACCGGGAGAUAGCUGGUUCUCCCCGAAAGCUAUUUAGGUAGCGCCUCGUGAAUUCAUCUCCGGGGGUAGAGCACUGUUUCGGCAAGGGGGUCAUCCCGACUUACCAACCCGAUGCAAACUGCGAAUACCGGAGAAUGUUAUCACGGGAGACACACGGCGGGUGCUAACGUCCGUCGUGAAGAGGGAAACAACCCAGACCGCCAGCUAAGGUCCCAAAGUCAUGGUUAAGUGGGAAACGAUGUGGGAAGGCCCAGACAGCCAGGAUGUUGGCUUAGAAGCAGCCAUCAUUUAAAGAAAGCGUAAUAGCUCACUGGUCGAGUCGGCCUGCGCGGAAGAUGUAACGGGGCUAAACCAUGCACCGAAGCUGCGGCAGCGACGCUUAUGCGUUGUUGGGUAGGGGAGCGUUCUGUAAGCCUGUGAAGGUGUGCUGUGAGGCAUGCUGGAGGUAUCAGAAGUGCGAAUGCUGACAUAAGUAACGAUAAAGCGGGUGAAAAGCCCGCUCGCCGGAAGACCAAGGGUUCCUGUCCAACGUUAAUCGGGGCAGGGUGAGUCGACCCCUAAGGCGAGGCCGAAAGGCGUAGUCGAUGGGAAACAGGUUAAUAUUCCUGUACUUGGUGUUACUGCGAAGGGGGGACGGAGAAGGCUAUGUUGGCCGGGCGACGGUUGUCCCGGUUUAAGCGUGUAGGCUGGUUUUCCAGGCAAAUCCGGAAAACCAAGGCUGAGGCGUGAUGACGAGGCACUACGGUGCUGAAGCGACAAAUGCCCUGCUUCCAGGAAAAGCCUCUAAGCAUCAGGUAACAUCAAAUCGUACCCCAAACCGACACAGGUGGUCAGGUAGAGAAUACCAAGGCGCUUGAGAGAACUCGGGUGAAGGAACUAGGCAAAAUGGUGCCGUAACUUCGGGAGAAGGCACGCUGAUAUGUAGGUGAAGCGACUUGCUCGUGGAGCUGAAAUCAGUCGAAGAUACCAGCUGGCUGCAACUGUUUAUUAAAAACACAGCACUGUGCAAACACGAAAGUGGACGUAUACGGUGUGACGCCUGCCCGGUGCCGGAAGGUUAAUUGAUGGGGUUAGCGGUAACGCGAAGCUCUUGAUCGAAGCCCCGGUAAACGGCGGCCGUAACUAUAACGGUCCUAAGGUAGCGAAAUUCCUUGUCGGGUAAGUUCCGACCUGCACGAAUGGCGUAAUGAUGGCCAGGCUGUCUCCACCCGAGACUCAGUGAAAUUGAACUCGCUGUGAAGAUGCAGUGUACCCGCGGCAAGACGGAAAGACCCCGUGAACCUUUACUAUAGCUUGACACUGAACAUUGAGCCUUGAUGUGUAGGAUAGGUGGGAGGCUUUGAAGUGUGGACGCCAGUCUGCAUGGAGCCGACCUUGAAAUACCACCCUUUAAUGUUUGAUGUUCUAACGUGGGCCCCUAAUCGGGGUUGCGGACAGUGUCUGGUGGGUAGUUUGACUGGGGCGGUCUCCUCCUAAAGAGUAACGGAGGAGCACGAAGGUUGGCUAAUCCUGGUCGGACAUCAGGAGGUUAGUGCAAUGGCAUAAGCCAGCUUGACUGCGAGCGUGACGGCGCGAGCAGGUGCGAAAGCAGGUCAUAGUGAUCCGGUGGUUCUGAAUGGAAGGGCCAUCGCUCAACGGAUAAAAGGUACUCCGGGGAUAACAGGCUGAUACCGCCCAAGAGUUCAUAUCGACGGCGGUGUUUGGCA
rnacentral:rRNA from 1 species